UCCCUGGUGGUCCAGUGGUUAAGACUUUGCACUUCCACUGCAGGGGGCAGGGGCACAAGUUCAAACCCUGGUUGGGGAA
rnacentral:tRNA from 1 species